CGAGGACUACCGUUGGAUCUGCAUUUUCCAAACCAGUAAAUUGAAGCUAGUGUUGUCUAAUGAAGGAAAAAAAUAAAUGAACAGCAGUAACUACAUGGUUGGUGCAGAUUGGCAGAUCAAGUCAAUAAGAUAUUUUGACUUCCUAUACUUAUAACUUUCUUAAUAAAUCUUGAUUGUUCUCAUUUUUGAACAUUUGGUUCAUUGGUUAAUAUAUAAUCUCUUACCUAAAAACUAGAAUUCGAAUUCCCCUUUUCUCAAUUAAAAA